CUUUGGAACUCUAAGUACUGAUGCCGGAGUUCCUGUGUUCCCUUUCCUGUGCCUCCUUCCCUUCCCAUUUUUAGAAAUAUCCUUAAUGAACAAGCUAAGAUUGUCUUGUUCAUUGAGCACAGACCACUCUAAGGAAGGUAGCAAAGUCCAAAAGUAGUGGAUGGGAGAGACCGUAAAAAGCAAGCUGAAUUCAUUGAUAAGGUUUUUCCCCCAAUGUCAUCUGCACUGUAUUUCACCCACAAGGGAAUCCUUUUUCCCAAUAAAUGGUAUGAUGUGGAAACACUCAACUUUGUGGAAAAUGAAUUCCAACUGUUGGACGACGAUGUACUGAAUGUUACUUAUCCUAAAUCAGGUACCAAUUGGAUGCAGGAGAUUUUGGGCUUAAUCUGGCACAAUGGGGACCCAUCAUGGGUUCACAGCUCGUUUGUGUGGGACCGGUCACCAUGGAUAGGAACUACUGAUGGUAUGAAGAUUGUCUUGGCAUCUCCUCCACCCAGACUCAUGGCUUCUCACAUGUCAUUCCAGCUUUUCCCCAAGUCAUUU